rnacentral:rRNA from 1 species
UACGGAGGGUGCAAGCGUUAUCCGGAUUCACUGGGUUUAAAGGGUGCGUAGGUGGGUUGGUAAGUCCGUGGUGAAAUCUCCGAGCUUAACUCGGAAACUGCCGUGGAUACUAUCAAUCUUGAAUACUGUGGAGGUAAGCGGAAUAUGUCAUGUAGCGGUGAAAUGCUUAGAUAUGACAUAGAACACCAAUUGCGUAGGCAGCUUACUACACGAUCAUUGACGCUGAGGCACGAAAGCGUGGGGAGCAAACAGG